GUCUGUUGUCGNCUCGGGGGCUGGUAUUGCAGAACGUGUAGGUGCAUGAGUGGUGUUUUGCUUGUGUUGGUUGGUUGGAUCCUUGCUCUGGCAACGACGUCCAUCCUCGCAUGCAUCUUCAGUCGGGUCUCGUGAUACGUGUUAUCUCGAGCUAUGGAUCGGUUUCCUGUGUUGCGUACCUCUAAAGAUGGCAAUCGGUAGUCCCAACGUCCCACUUCGCCUUGCGUUGUCCCUUUCCGGGGGCGACGCGGGGUGAACCAUGAAGCAAUCUCUGCGUCCCACUCUGCGCACAUUAGGUUGUGGUCGUGGAUUGGUCCGCAGGGCAUUCGCUUGAGCUCUCGGAUGCGGUGCAUUAUACGCGGGCAUGAGGACUCACGUCCUCUAUUUGCCCGAAAUAAAGCUUUCAUCGCUUAGUUGCGAACGAUUGCGAUCCCCGUUUCUAGCCCCCGGGCGAGUGCGGCGGUCGCUUCGUUGAGGAAUGCUACCUGGUUGAUCCAG
rnacentral:misc_RNA from 1 species